rnacentral:rRNA from 1 species
UAUUGCACAAUGGGGGAAACCCUGAUGCAGCGACGCCGCGUGAAGGAAGAAGUAUCUCGGUGUGUAAACUUCUAUCAGCAGGGAAGAUAAUGACGGUACCUGACUAAGAAGCCCCGGCUAACUACGUGCCAGCAGCCGCGGUAAUACGUAGGGGGCAAGCGUUAUCCGGAUUUACUGGGUGUAAAGGGAGCGUAGACGGCGCAGCAAGUCUGAUGUGAAAGGCAGGGGCUUAACCCCUGGACUGCAUUGGAAACUGCUGUGCUUGAGUGCCGGAGGGGUAAGCGGAAUUCCUAGUGUAGCGGUGAAGUGCGUAGAUAUUAGGAGGAACACCAGUGGCGAAGGCGGCUUACUGGACGGUAACUGACGUUGAGGCUCGAAAGCGUGGGGAGCAAACAGG